UCCCUCAGCCGGUGCGGACGGGACACGGGUGCCUGCUUUUCCCUCGGAGGCGGGCGUCAUUCCGUCGCUGUUAACCGCCUCCUGCUGCCCGUGAUGCAUUUGCGGUGAAGCCCGAAGAGGGGGGUCAGCUGUCGUGCCUGGUUGCUUCUGCACAUGGUGCUGGUGGUUGUAGUGACCGCCUGGCCUGCUGCUAGGCGCCUGAAGUCGUCUCGUUACAGGAAGAUGCGGUAAGAGAAGGAAAAGACGAGUGCUGGUGGGGCUAACAUGCUUUUCGGGGUGCUUGGAGGGGACUGUAGUCUUGUCCAGUCUUUCCUUAGCGGUGAGGAUGCUCUCUGAAGGCACAGUCUUACAAAGCAGGAUACUGCAAGGCACCUGUGAAAUGUCCUCUAAGAGGAUUUGGACUUGGAGGCAAGCUUUGAUACUACUAAAUACGAGCUACUAAGUGAAGCCUAUAUUUAAAUAUAUUUUUAACGUUAGUGCCACAUUUUUACUUACAUAAAAUUUGCUUCGUAGUUAACAGUGAUUUAGAUCCAUUCUUUCUCCACAAAGUAAUGAGUAUCUGUUUGACAGUGUUCACACUUAGCUACAAGGCAUACCUUAGGUUUGUUUAAAUCAGCUUGUGAAUCUAGUUCAGAGAUCCUUUGUGGUAAUUUGACAGCGAUGGAUUGUUAGUUUAGGUGUAGUUUCCAUGUAAGUUCUGGCUUGAAGGUAUAUUUUUGUUUUGUAUUUUGUAAAUCUGAUUCUUUGGAAAGCAACAAGAAAAAACGCACCUCUUGAAGGAGUUCAGUCAGCAGUGGUGUAUGGUAUAGUAAGCUCUAACGGUUUAGUAAGGCAUAAUGUAAGCAAAGUAGUUUAGAGUUGACUGCAGGAGAUGCCUAAUAUGGGGAAAGGGUAGCUCCAGGCUUCUGGUGUUUGGAUGUGGGUUAUAAAUAUAAAAAUACUCAAUGUCGUAUAUGAAGUGUAUAAAGGUUUGAGGCAUUUAGCUGAGGAAACUUUGGUUCUGUGCUGUAGUUACACUUUAUGCAGUACAUAAACUGAUGAGCAAAUUAAUGUUAGAACAUACUAAAUCUACGCCAAAUGUUAACAAAGCUUCAGGAAUUCACUUUGUGCGCUUUGUGUCUCCCUGUGGAACGUAUUGACCAAACCAUGACUUUGAGCUUUAAGGCACAAUUUGUAUCUCUGUACUAAGUAUAGUACCAUUCAAUAAAUAACAGUUUGUGACAAAACUCAUCAGUCUUGUUUCUCAUUUCUAGCAGAACAGUCCUGUCCACCUGGAUGUGUCUGUUGCAGCUGGCAUGCUUAGGAGUAAACAGGCAACAUUUUUCCAGUGGUGGUUGAGCAAACAUCUGCUUUGUGGUGGAACUGCUACAUUUCUGUACAAAUCAAGGUCAGAUGUAUGCUUCCCACAAAGCUUUAUUAUCCAAGUGAUUGCAAACUGCUCCAGUAAGAGUAUAGUAAGAAGUUGUGAAGUACUUAGUGAGCAUGUAUAAAGCAAAAAAAAAAGUCCCUAUAGAAGUGAACACAAGUUUGGUCAGUAAUAGCUGGCUUGUAAAAAGGAAAAGUCAAACCUUCUUUCCUAGCCCUGGAGAAAAUUGUGGUUUACUGUUAACUAUCAGCAAUAAGUACCUCUAUUAUAUUGUGUGAGAGAGAACAAAGAAAAAAAGGAAACAUAAAAAAAGUACCUGCUAAUGCUAAAUGCUCACAUACCAUUUUCCCAGCUCUGGCACAUUCCUGUCCCCGCGUUCAGAAAAACAGAUAUUUAGUUAUUCAGGCAUAACUGCGCAUGCUGUCAUUCAUAUCUGAGACAAAGACACAAAGUUUAGCAAUCCUUAUGAAGACUGAAUUAGUACAUUAUGUCCAGUAAAGAUCAGUACUAGUUUCUUAAAUCUGGCAUGGGCAUGUUUUCCAGCAGUAUUUCUUCUAGCUACGAAUAGCCAUGAAAAUAUUUGACAGGGUUUGCUGCCAUAAAUAUUUGGGGGGGGGGGG